UACAGAGGUCUCAAGCGUUGUUCGGAUUCAUUGGGCGUAAAGGGUGCGUAGGUGGCGCCAUAAGUCAGGUGUGAAAUCUCGGGGCUCAACCCCGAAACUGCAUUUGAUACUGUGGUGCUCGAGUACUGGAGAGGAGAUUGGAAUUUACGGUGUAGCAGUGAAAUGCGUAGAUAUCGUAAGGAAGACCAGUGGCGAAGGCGAAUCUCUGGACAGUUACUGACACUGAGGCACGAAGGCCAGGGGAGCAAAACGGGG
rnacentral:rRNA from 1 species